UCAUGUCGUGCCAAGCAAAAAGUAUGGAUGCUUUAAGCCUAUAAAUACAAAGUCGCAGGCAACAUCAAAGCCCCUUCCAAUUCAACGCACAAACAGCCCUGCAUAAACUCUCACUUUACGCGAAACCUCUCAACAACCUUGAGAUUUUUAUUUUCUUUUUAGCCAACGCACCUUCAGCAUGGAUAAACAACAUUGUUGCCAUGGAAUCAGCCGACCAUGGAGAACCUUUAGUUUGGAUAAACAGCACUACGUCGAGGUCGACUGGUUAUCUAUCCAAGUCUUGGUCGAGAAGGAUUUUCGAUUCCUUAUUUGCAGAGGUCAUCUCACUAGCUUUCUUGGCGAAGUGAGGUGUUACAGAUUACCGGGCUCGGUGCAUUGAACGCUGAGUUGUUUUAUGAUUAGAUAUUCACAAGUAAGUUUUAGAGUUCGACAUUCUGACAGUCGAACCACAUUCACCAUCAAGACAUACAUCUCGUUUAAGUACUUAUCUUUGUAUAGUUUGGUGCUAGUUCGGCUUGCUUAUACUCUUACGAAUAUAAUCACCGUGACUGAACCCGACGACGACGAUCCGUGAACUUCGCAAGACUAGCAACCUUGUCUUCAAGCUCUAGAACCCGAAGGCCGAGACAUGUUCCGUCCUCAGCCGCAGUCAUAAGAUCAAGAAGUUAGCAAUGCGCCCAACGUGACAUCGACACAUUUUACUCCCCAGUCGAGCUUGGCCGACGAGUUGGCAUGCCCUGCACACAACCAAAGGACGUAGUUAGCUCAUUAGUUACUCAGCCUGCACGCUGAAGGAAGAUUUUGUGAAAACAUGUUCAUUUGAGCAACAUCAUAUAGCAUGCAAUUAACAAUUAAAGACGGAAUCAUGCUUGCAUGCACUCAAAAACAAAACAUCAACCAUGAAAUUCAAAGCCUAGUAGAUUGGUGAACCAAGACUCAACUCAAAUCAAAGUGAGUUGAGAAAUUUAUACCCUUGUAGAUUCCUCUUUGCAUAAGCAAAGGCUAAUCAUCCAAGGAGAGGGCCUUCAUUCCUUGCAUCUUAGAUCCAUGGAUUUGGAUGGAAGAAUAGAUUCUCCAAGUUCCCAAAAUUGAGAACCUCUAAGUUUCCACACCAAGGAUGGAUUGAUGAAGAAAUGAGUGACCUAGAGGAAGCAAGAUUGCUAGUUAAUUUCCUCUAGGGUGGCCGGCCUCUUUAGAGAGAAAAGAGAGCUUUGUGUUCUCAUAUUUUCUCCAAAAAGAAACCCUAAAUGAAUUUUGGCUAUAAAGUCACAUUUAUACCUUAAUUCAUUGGAGUGGCAAACUUGUAAAUAAGUCCAAAACCCACUCCAUCUCUAAAUGGCCGGCCAUUGGGUUUCAUUGGGCUUUUAGGGCCUUUGUGAAUUAUUAGUCAUUACGUUGUCAUACAACUUAAGUCAAUGGGCUUGACGUUCGAAGCCCAUUGGGCCUUGAGGCCCAAAACUAACUCGUGGUCUUUUAACGAACUUAUUCGUUUGAUUAAUUAACAUAUUAAUUAAUCCUUGCCACAAAUAAUUAAACCAUUUAAUUAUUCUUACUCAUCUCCGUUGUUUCUUCAAUCUUUACCUUACACGGUGUACGAUCCAUUAGAUUCCUUUUUAGCGAGG
rnacentral:lncRNA from 1 species